ensembl:lncRNA
AUGUUUCACACUUGUUUCGAAACGGUUUCUCCUGCCUUUGCAGACAGCCGGUGCGCAUCGCGGACCGGGUACCUUGGAGGGACCAUACAUAAGCAGCCGUGGCAGCUCGUACCGUGUAGGACGGGGAGAAGUGGAUGUUUCCCCGGGCCCUCAGGUUGGCUGCCCAAGCCCACUUCAGCUUGGAGACGUGAAGGGAGGUGGCGCGGCGCUGCGCACCUCAGCUUCCCUCCGCCUCACGGCCCCCCGCCGCGCUCCCUCGGCUGCACUGUGGACAGCGAGAUCCCGGGGGGGGCUCUUCAGGCAGAGGGGCCACCCCGCUCCAGGAGAGCCGCGGGUCAAAGGCAGCGGCGAUACGGCCGGGCGCGGCCUACAUUGCCCGUCGUGCCGCGCCGAGGGCGGUGCCACCGGAAGCGCGGCUCGGACCCACUUCCGUUUGUGCGCGAGCCCCGAGCGGAGGCGAGCCCGCGAGCCUGCACCCCGACGAGACAAGAUGGCCGGGCUGCCCCGCAGGAUCAUCAAGUGCUGCCGUGGUCUCAUCAUUCAUGAUUUGAAGUCCAGGUCUACGUGUUGACUGUGUAGCCUGUUGUCAGUAGCCCUUCUGUUACAGUCACUGCAGCUGCUAUUAUGAAGCAACCGUCUGAAGCAGUAUAUAAGACUCCUUUAAGACAUUUUUUUUCUUUAUUAAUGAAUUUAUCGAUGUUAAAUUACUGAGGCUUUGAUUUCUUCCCCUGCAUGGUAGCGUGUUGCUGUUUCCUGUAAGAAGCUAUUUCCACAAUCCUUCUAGUGAGCUAGGAGGAUUUUGUUGAGAAUCUGGGUAACAUUUGGACUGCUGAGUUACAAAAUGCUACCUCAAAAUGUAAGAUUCCAGGGAGAAAAAUUAUGGAGAGUCUCAUGGUAUGUGUGAUGGUAGGCACCUACAGCAUUCUGUAUUAGAGGUCAGUAGAACCAGCUUUAUAUGUUUUUCUUAAAAUACAAAUCAGAUAUUUGAUCUGCAACUUCUGAAACUUUCUAAAAGUUCUUAUACAGUGUUACUGCAGCCAACUUGAAGAUUCUUACUUUGUCUUGGAAGCUAUGGACUUCCGGGGAAUGGACGUCUGUCUCCACAUGAGUAUUAAAGUUGCCGUUGCCUUUUUGAUUUCUCUGCCAUUUCUGGCCAUCUUUUUUAUUUCCUGAAUAAAAAAAAAAAAAAAAAAAGGAAGUAAACUUGAUACCUUUUUGUGGUAUGUUACGUUUGUUUGGAUGGUGGCUGCGCAUGGAAAAUGUUCCUUCUGGACAGUGCUGUUCCUUGGUAUUUGUCAGAGAAGCUGUGUAUUUAUAAUGGCUUUUUGUCCUUUGCAUGCUGUUUGAAUCUUGUGGGUAACUUUGAAUUUGACAGAUGGGUGAAAAUUUAAUGAGUUUUCAGAGGAUUUUUCUUUUUUGUACUGUUCUUCUAAAAAGCACCUUCUCUCCGUCUCCCCGGCAAUGUAGGAAGGUGGGAAGGUAAUGCAUUUGCUACUUUGUGACCCUCAUUGUGUCUUCUUGCUGGGCAACUAGUACAGCAUGGGCUGCCUGUGGUAGUGGGAGGGGUGUAUAGGCAGGUGCUGGAAGCCUGAAAUUUGGUAGGACAUAUCCUUUGUGGAGGUGUGGCGGGGAGGCUGAGAAGAAGGCCCAGGCCCAGAGGAUAAGAAAACUUCCAAGUUAGGUCAAGGUACCAGUUUUAAAAGGAAAAACAUAGAAUCUUAGUUAAAGAUCUUAAAGAGGACACUGAUAACUAACUUCCACAGCCUUUUCCUUAAAGAAGCUUUCAGUAGACACUAGAGAAUCAAAACUGGGGCAAAACAAGGAAAUAAUCCAACUGAACACUAAAGUUCCUGUUGCUGGACCACCUUCUGGUAUAAUACUUGAGUAAUGUUGAGGUAGUAUAAAUCUGUAGUACCCCAAGCUUUGUAAGACUGAUGCUAAUAGGUUUUUAUUGCUUGCAUGCAUUUGUUUGACACUGAAACCCAUGGAAGUGUAACAGACAAGUACAGUAUAUAAUAAAAGUUUGUUUUGUGUAACAGUACAAAACAAACCCACAGUUUCAUAGUUACAUGUGACUGGUGGGUUAAUAGAAGUGAGUGGCAAAUUUUGUUGUAGAUGGUGUGGUGGAUUGACCCUGGCAGGACACUAGGUG